rnacentral:lncRNA from 1 species
UCCCUCUCUCUCUCUCUCUCUCUCUCUCUCUCUCUUUCUCUCUCUCUCUAUAUAUAUAUAUAUAUAUAUUGUCUUGUAUAUAUGCGUUUGUUUGUAGGUAUUAUGAACCUGAAGUUUAUACUUUCAACUCAAACUUGAAGUUCAUAAUAAGGUGCUACAAAAACCUGAAGAUUCCUAACACUUGCCACUCAUGUAGAGACCCGAAGUUCUCUAUGAUUAAUCAACUAAACCAAACUAUGUGUUAGAAGCUGAAUGUUCUAACUUUGAUGCUUAUGGAGGUUUUAUUUCUCAUAAUAGAGAGAAAAACCGGUAGUCGGCGUGGGUGAAACUACGUACUAGUACUCUUGGGGAUUUCUAGCCCUAAGAAAGCAAAACUCCUUAGGAGGACUUCCAUGACUUCAAGCAUGACUCAAGUGAUGGAUGAUCGUUAUUGAUUGGUGGGAAGAUUAGGAUUGGUGCCUUAUUAAGGAAAAACCACCACACAGGGUGGAGAAGCCACCUCAAAUGAUGGAAGAGCGAUCACAAAGAAGGAUGGAAGAGCCAUGACAGAAGGAAUGGAAAAGGUGCCUCUUCAAAGGGAAGGGGAGAAAGCCACUAGAUGAAUAAAUGUGUGGAAUGUAGAGAAAGUUUUUUUGGGUGACAGAUGAAGUUUUUAUAGCAAAUUCUUGUUUGUGGAACCAAUUAAGUUGAAGCGGAUGAUUGCAAGGUUGUUCAGUUGAGCUAGACCUUGGUCGACAUUGCCACUAAAAACAAUAUACGACAAAAAUUUCUUGAAUAAGAAGUCGACUAAUUAUUCUAUUUGUGUUGUAGGCCUAUUUGAUUGAACUAAUCUAAGGGAUUACAGAGAGAGAGGGAGUUGGCGGUAUUGAGGGAGAAGAGAGAGUGAUUUAAUUGUGAGGUGUGUUUAUAUCACCCCAUUGUGCCUUUAUUUAUAGUAGAAGGAUAGACAAAAACCUUACCCCUGUAGGAUUACAACUCUUAAUAGGUAAUCAACUCCUAAUAGGAAUAUAAGAUACAUUCCUAUAUCUAUUGGGAUUUACACAAUCACAUUCCUAUUCUAAAUAUGACAGCAACACUUCCCCUUGAGUGUGUAAAUACUUAACAAACCAUCACAUUAGAUCUUUAGCAGAGAAUGUAGAAUAGUUGAUGAAGCCAUCGGCACAACGUUGUCUUAAAUUUAAGAAAGUAUGCAUUGGUAGUAAAACUCAUAAAACCUUGCUAUGGUAAAACCCAAGGCAUUGGGAAAACCUAUAGACUAAAGAGAAAAGUGAGAAGUAUGCAUAAUGUCUAAAACAAACGUCAAACAUGACGAAAGUAGUGAACUCAACGGAGUAUGAUCAUCUCAGGAUGAGUGCAUCAUCAAAACCUCGUUAGGUAGCAAAAACCCAGUGGGAAAAAUGCUACUAAUCAUAGGAAAAAGAGUACAUUGAGAUCAAGUGAGUGCUUUUAGAUACCCUCUCUGAGUUAAACAUAACUUCCAAAUAAGAGAACUACAAGCGAUUCAACUCAGAUAAUUUACACAUACCGAUUCCUUGGACAAGCUUCUGAAAAGUAGGCUUGGGCAAUGACUUGGUGAAGAGAUCAGAUAGGUUGUCCUGGGAACAUAUUUGCUUAACUUCAAUGUUUUGAUGCUGUUGUUGCUAGUGUGAGUAAAAGAACUUUGGCACUAUGUGCUUAGUGUUGUCGCUCUUGAUGUAUUCAUUCUUUAACUCCUCGAUACAUGCUGCAUUGUUUUCAAAGAUUGUCGCAGGAAGGUCAAAGACGGAAGUAAGACCACUAGUGCUUCAAAUAUGUUCCAUAACUACUCUUAGCCAACAACACUCAAGCGAUGCUUCAUGCAGAGCGAGAAUCUCAGCAUGGUUCUAAGAAGUCGCAAAGCGUUUGCUUGGUAAACCUCCAAGAUAUAGUGAUGUCUUCAACGGUAAAGAUAUAGUUCAUUUGAGAACGUGCCUUAUGUGGGUCAGACAGAUAUCCAGCAUUUGCGUAACCAACAAGGCAAGAAUCAAUUCGAGAACCAUAAGGUGUAGCAACACUUAAAGAUUUGUGGGUAUAGAACAAGCCCAAAUUCGUCAUACCCUUGAGGUAGUGGAAAAUGUCUUUAACACAAUUCCAGUGCCUGUGCGUGGGCGCAUUUCUGUAUCUAGCCAAAAGAUUAACAUCGAAGGAAAUGUCGGGUUUAAUGCACUGAGCCAAGUACUAUAAAGCCCCAAUUGCACUUAGGUAAGGAACUUCAGGUUCCAAAAUCUCUUCCUUGUCCUCCUUUGGACGGAAGGGAUCUCGUUUAGCGUCUAGAGUCUGAAUAACCAUAGGUGUACUCGAAGGUUUUGCUUUAUCCUCAUUAAAAUGUCGCAACACCGUUUGGGUGUAGUUCGAUUGAUGUAUUAUGAUUCCAUUCAAACAAUGCUCGAUCUCCAGGCUGAGUCAAUUUCGAGUUUUCCCAAGGUCUUUCAUCUCAAAUUCCAAUUUCAAGUGCGUAGCAAUUUUCUUAAGCUCUGUAGAAGUCCCGAUGAGGUUCAUGUCAUCGACAUAAAUUGCAACAAUUGCAAAUCUGGAAUGUGACUUCUUUAUGAACACACAUGGGCAUAAUUUGUUGUUCACAUGACUUUGACUUGUUAAAUAUUUACUCAGACGAUUAUACCGCAUUCGUCCGGAUUGUUUCAAUCUGUAGAAUGACCUCAUCAACCUAAUUGAGAAAGUGUUUCGUGGUCUAGAACUAUUUGAGCCAAUCAAUGGAAGUCAUUUUGGAACUUUCAUGUAUAUUUCCAUAUCUAGAUUCCCAUAAAGAUACACGGUUUCCACGUCCAUAAGCUGCAUAUUCAGUUUUUCAAAAACUACCAAAUUGAUUAGGUAGCGGAACGUUAUAACGUCCAUUACGUGGGAAUACAUCCCCUCGUAAUCAAUCUUAGGGCACUAAGAGAAGCCUUACGCUACGAGGUGUGCUUUGUAUCACACUAUUUCAUUCUUCUCAUUAUGCUUCUUCACGAAAACCCAUUUAUAGCCAACAGGCUUCAUGCGUGGUGGUGUAGGAACAAUAGGUCCAAACAUUUUACGUUUCGUGAGCGAAUCGAGUUCGACCUCGAUUGCUUGUUUCCAGUUUGACCAAUCUGUUCUACGUUGGCAUUCCUCAACGGAACGUGAUUCAUUGUCAUCAUUAAGCAUGAUGUUAGUAGCUACUGUGUAUGCAAAUGCAUUGUCGACAAUCAUCUCAUUUCGAUUCCAAACUUCAUCCAAUAUUGCAUAGUGAACCAAAAUUUCACGAUUCACGGGAGGUUGGGUUGUCUCGUUUAAGAUAUAGUUGUAAUCUAGAAUAACCUCAUGUGUUUGAACGACUGAGUGAGCAAUGGUCGGAUUCAAACUAAGGUCACUAGUUGGUGCUGCUUUCCAUUUCCAGGGUUGUGAUUCAUUUGAACCAAGGGGUCUGCCACACUUUAGGGUCAGAGCAGAUGAUUGGCUACCUGCUAAUGUACCAUGCUGCGUGGAAGGUGCGGCCUCCCCACCUUUGGGGACAGUCCGGCCUUCCCAGGCGGGUUGUGGACGUACGCGGGAUACAUCUAUCCUUGCAUAUGCGUUUGCAGCGGCUACAUGUGAUCUUGUUACCUUAGCUAGAUCAUUAAAAGCAUCUGGCAUGCUCUAAGCAAUGCUCUGAAGAUAUAUAAUUUGUCGCACCUUAGUUUCAGACUGGGCAGUGCGGGGAUCUAAAUGAGACAUAAUAGGAGCAUACCAUGACAAUUCGCGGCGUUUUAUAGGAAUAUUAGCAAUCGUGGAAGGUGCGGCCUCCCCACCUUCGGGGACAGUCUGGCAUUCCCAGGCGGGUUGUGGACUUACGCGGACAUCUAUCCUUGCAUGUGCGUUUGCAGCGGGUAUAUGUGAUCUUGUUACCUUAGCUAGAUCAUUAAAAGCAUCUGGCAUGCUUUAAGCAAUGCUAUGAAGAUAUAUAAUUUGUCGCACCUCAGUUUCAGACUGGGCGGUGUGGGGAUCUAAAUGAGACAUAAUAGGAGCAUACCAUGACAAUUCGUGGUGUUUUACAGGAAUAUUAGCAUGCUUAUCUCCCCGUAACAAGGGGAAGAAUGUCUCAUCAAAGUGACAAUCCAAAUGUGCGGUAAAAAGAUCUCUUGUCAAGGGUUCUAAAUAACGAACAAUUGAUGGCGAAUCAUAACUGACAUAGAUUCCCAUUUUUUUUAGGACCCAUUUUGGUAUGUAGCGGCGAUGAUAUUGGCACAUAAAUGGCGCACCUAAACACCCGUAAAUGUGAGACGUUAGGCUCGUAUCUAAUGACCAACUGUAAUUGUGAAUGUGGUUGGGUAACGGUAGGCCUUAAGCGGACUAACAUAGCUGCGUGCAAUAUUGCAUAGCCCUAGGCAGAUACCUGCAAUUUGGUUCUCAUAACCAAGUCUGAGCUAUCAAUUGAAGGCGCUUUAUGAAAGCUUCUGCCAAGCCGUUUUGGGUGUGUGAACAUUGGGUACAUGAUGUUCCACAUCAAUCCCUACUGACAUGCAAUAAUCGUCAAAAGUUUGUGACAUAAACUCUCUAGCAUUAUCCAGUUGAAUUGACUCAAUCGGAUAAUUAAGAUGGUGAACCCUUAGCUUAAUGAUUUGAGCUAGGAGUUUAGUAGACGCAGCGUUACAUGUGGACAACAGGCAAACAUAUAACCAUCGUGUCGAUGCAUCAACCACCACCAUAAAAUAUUUAAAUGGUCUGCAAGUUAGUUGGAUAGGUCCAUUAAUAUCCCCUUGAAUCCUCUAAAAAAACUUAAGGGGGUCGUGAGUGAUCUGUGUAAUUGAGUGUUGAGUAUUCAACUUCCCUAAAGAACAUGCUUUGCAUGGAGAGACUCCAACAUAGGGAGGUAAUCGAUGCCAAUGUGAUGAUUUGAGGAUGUGGUGCAUCAUGUCACGUUCAUGAUGACCCAAACAGUCAUGCCAAAGCAGCAAAGUGUUAUGAAACUCAGGCAUAAAGCCAGCCACAUGAUGGGUUUCUAUGCCAUGAAUGGUUGUGAUGUACAACCCACUCGGGAGACGUUCCAACUUCUCUUGAAUAUGCUUCUGGCCAUAUUCAUACGAAGCGAUACAAAGAAAUUCAGAACCAUUAUCUUCAGUGGUUUCACUACGAUAUUGAUUAUCUUGAAUAUCUUUAAAACUUAGCAACAUUCUUCCAGAACAUGGAGAAUAGAGGGCCUUUUUAAUGGUUAAGAUUUUACCAUUGGACAACAUGAUACAUGCCUUUCCUUAUCCUUCAAUCAGGUUGGAUGGGUUGAAAGAGUUGUCAGAGGUGCUUUCUUGGAUAUUAAGUUAGUAAAAUAGUGUUGCUCACGUAAGAUGGUGUGCGUGGUACUCCUCAGCGAGGUACUCGGUCUACAGAGCAUCAUGGAUGUGUCUUCGAAUGAAGAUCAUUGUAGUAGCUUUUUGAGCUUCGUCGACAGGUUUGUCGUCGGUAGGUGCCUAGAUAGUGGCUCUAAUACCUUUUGCAGUGAGAUGAAGCUUCACGUCUUGAACCCACUUCAGAUAGUUUCUUCCAGAUACUUCAAGAGCGGUGAAAUCAAGCUUGUUUAAGUUCGACAUGUCCCUAAAACGGAGGGAAAAAACAUGAUUAGUCAUAUGGUGAUCCAUGGACAUAUAUCGUAGAACAUUCAGGUUCUAUAGACAAGUAUUGGUUUAAUUUAUGCAUGAAAACUAUAGAUUUCAUAUGGUAAGUUUUAAAUCAAACUUUAGGUUUCAAAGGCACUAAAUAUGAAACUACAGGUUCAAUUUAGUUUUAUGAAAGAUUAGUUCAUAAAGGAGAGGUUUCUGCAAGAAACAUAGAAUGCAAUAUACUGAUUAAGUGUAGUGGAUUUGAGUUUCUUCGGGAACUCAAGUGUGAGAGCUUUGUUACUAUGAAAAUAUGUCAAUGGUUCAAAGUAUACAAAUAAAUUAUUGAAUCGUUAAUGUUCAAAAGUGAUAUUCAAGUUAAUAAUUUUGGAUUCAUUAUUAGAUUAAUGGAUUAUAGGUCACUUUUAAUGAACUCAAUAGAUCGGGACCAAACAGGGUCGAUCGUGGAAGCAAAAUAAUGCCAAAAUAAUAGCAUUAGGUUGAAAAAUCAUAGCCCAAAAAGAUUUAGGCUUGGGGUAGCUGCAAAAGGUAGCCUACGGGUGGUUGCAGGCCAUGGGCUGAGGGGACUGGGCAAGCCUAGCAGACAAGACUGCUGGUAUUGGGCCAAAGGGGCGCGCGGGGACAAGCCCAGCUAAAGCGGGUUUGUAGGUUAGCACAUGGAAGGCCUAGCCGAAGCUAGAGCCUGGUCUUUGGGUAGAGGGAAGAAACCCAGCAUACUGGGCUGGUUGUUUGGUUGCGGGCCGAGGCAAGAUUAAAGCACAGCAAGGACAAAGGCUUGGUGGCAAGUCGGGCUAAGCUGUAGGUGGGCUCGAGGCUUCAGGCCCGUCGAAAUUGACCCCAGGCCGAAGCCUGGUUAUCGCAUACAAGAGCAGUAAGCCCAAAGGUUGCUGCGGCGGUCCAUGUAGCUGGGUUUCAAGCUAGCGACGGUACAUGGUGUUACCGACAAUGGUGCCACACCAUGCCCAAUUUUCUUUUCUUUUUUUUUUCAAAAUCCCUAGGGUUUGAAACACCCUAAAUUGCUUCUAAUUUAUUUAUAUGCUUUGACUCACAAAUUCCACAUAGCAAGUUAAUUGCGUAAUGCAUGAAACAAAUAUAUAUUGACAAAUAUAUGAACAUAUACAAUAUAUGUGUGUGUGUGUGUGUAUAUAUAUAUAUAGUAAGGAAAAUAUAAACAUAGAAGGGUUCACGCAUCAUGGGGAAUGUUUUUUAUGCUUCGUAGACGUUUCAAAUAUCUUCCUUUAUUUUAAGCGUACCUGCUUGACAGAAAACAAAGAAGAGCCUUCGAAUUUUGUGGAACAUAGCCUCCUCCUACGAUCUGUCAAUUCAUCAAUUUCUGACAAGAGCAUGCUGAUAACGUGUUGUAGGUCUAUUUGAUUGAACUAUUCUACGGGAUUAGAGAGAAAGGGGGUGACACACCCCGAUCUAAAUUGAGGCGUGCUGGCCAUCACGUGAGAGUGACGUAACCAUAUGCACAGUGCUGAAGCAAAAUUGAUAUAGAGAAAUACGAAUGAAUAAAAACCAAACUACUAGCAAUACUAGCUAAGAUAAAGUGCUAGUGCGAGAUUAAGUGUGAAAUACACAACCAGAGCAUAAAUAGCCUAAGUGCAGUCAAGCAGGACAAGUACUAAUUAUACAACACCCAAGGGUGAUCCUACAUUUAUGAUGUUCUAUCAGAACCAUCGUUGAAAUCCCCGUGAGCAACCAAAGCACUUCUACCUAAAACCUGGAGGGGCGCAAAACAGAAAGUGUGAGUGGGCACAAACAAAGCUUUUCAAAAUCAUUUCAUUUCUUAAAAGUUCUAACCCUUUGCCGUAAAACUUGUAUAAUUUCCCACAAAAAAUAUAUAUAUAUACUAUAACAGAAAUCAUGCUCAGGAUGAAAACCAUAGAAAUAUACCAUGCCAAAGUAUCUCAAUAAAAUGCUAUAAGUAAUCUAAUUCAAAUAUAUCAAUGCUAGAUAUCAUAUCAGCCGGAUACACCUAACGUCACCUGCGCAGCUAAGUAUAUAGCUCAUAACCAAUCUCAAUCGUAUCAAAUUCUGCACAUGAGUCGGAACCACCUAAAGUGGUCUGUACGACAGGACUAGGUUUAAGAUAAAUAUGCUCUAGUGCUACGAUCACGUGAAGACUGUGCGAAUGAUCGCGGGUCACCUACGAGUCGGAACCAACUAAAGUGGUUUAUACGACAAGCAUGUGCACUUAACUUGGAUCCAAGGUGAGCAUAUAGUACAGGAGGUGAACAUCAUGUGAAGGAUUGUGCCCUAACUCUGGGCGGGAGCACUAACACCAGGGUGAAGGUUUAUGAGCUCUCAAUACAUCACAUCAUAUCUCGCAUAACUGAAGCAAUCUCAUAUCCUUAAUUUAUGAACUUACCUGGCACUUACCUGUGCAUCUGCAACACCAAUCAUAAAUAUAUGCAACUACUAAUGCAUAAAUAAAAUAGGCAGAUACUUUGCAUGGCAUUUCAAAACGUAUAAUCAUUCAAAUUCAUUUUCUGGGAAAAUCUCAAGUAUAUAGGUAUAUACGGAAAACCAAAAGCCCACUUACUGAUAUGUCAAAGGGUGGUAGCCCCUGAGCCUCGAUUGAUGGCACUCGUCCUCAGGAUAGGUCUCACCUAUAUGCGAAAUAACUGAAUAAAUGUUAUUUAAAGCACAUACACAAAACUAGGAAAUAACUUUUCAUACAAUGCUCAAAUGGGGUAUUUGAAUAUACCACCAUGACCUACUCGACCUCAGGAACAUCCCCAUGUUUUUAGAAAAAAUUUCUGACCACCCAUGCGCCGGCCAAGGCAUGACCAAACGUGCGACUCAUGCACAAGCACGUGCCUAGCACACCAAACGGAUUCCCUAACGGCGUUAGGGAAUAUUCCUUUAAAUAUAAGCAUAAACCGUUAAUUAUACCUGACGGCGUUAGAAUAUUCUAUCAACUUUGAUGAAAUAUUCUCCUCCUUUUCCUUGGUUCGCCGGAGUCCGACGCCGGUGCUGCUACAAUCGCUGGAAACUGGAAAAUCUUAGAACUUCAAUAUCUUCUUCAUUUCUCAACCAAAAUUCAUGGAAUUUGUACUAAAAUGAAGCUUACAAUGAGUAGAACAAAACCUUACCAAUUUUAUGCCCUCAAAUCUACUGGAUCUCGUCAGAGAAACCUCGAUAAUCUGGCCGAAACUUGAAACUCGCAAACUGGGACUUCCUGACAUCCAAAAUGCUUAAACUUUCUUCCCCGAGCUUCAUGAAGAUGUGUUAAGGCUUCCUAUGACCUUAAAACUUGCUGAAAAGUCCACAUUUACAAUUGCAUGAACAGUAACCCAAACUGGGGAUCCUGGUUUCAUGGGUUUUUUGGGUUUUCACGUCUAACUAGGGGUAUGGAUGAGCUCCUGAGUUCACAAGGAACACAAAAGCAACCUCCUCGACAUCGAGUGACAUGAUGUCAUAGUUGCAAGUGCUUUGUCAAUGCUUAUGAUUUUCAUUAAACGUAAUGAUCUUUGAUUGUAUCUCUAUUAUGAUGUCAGGUAGGGAACUUUUGAAGAAUGUUUUAGGUUGUCGAAUGAUGUCAUCCAAUCUAAUAAAACAAGGAAAAUCUGAGAGUUAACUAGUGAUGUCACGGUUAAUUAAAGUCCAGUUUAUUGCACCAUAUUUCUAAGUUCCAUGGGUUGUACAUGGAAGAUCCUAAUAAACAUUUGAAGGAGUUUGAGGUUGUUUGUUCGAGCAUGACCCCUGUGAAUGUUGAUGGGAGCAUUCUGAAAUGAAGGCUUUUCCCUUUUCUCUCUUGGAAAAGGCUAAAGAUUGGUUGUAUGAGCUAGCCCCCGGAACUGUCACAUUAUGGGAGAGUAUGAAACGGACAUUUUUGGACAAGUUUUUCCCAACUUCUCAAGUCAUUCUACUACGCAAAAGGAUUAGUGGCAUUCAGCAAAACCACGGUGAAUCUUUUCCCACUUACUAUGAGCGUUUUAAAACCCUUGUUGCUUCAUGUCCACAGCACCAGAUGAAGGAUGAGCUUCUUCUUCAAUAUUUCUACGAAAGGCUUCUACCAAUUGAACGCCAAAUGCUAGACGCCUCAGCGGGAGGAGCUUUGGUGGACAAAACACCCAUGGCAGCCAAGACCUUAAUUGCUAACUGAACAUUGAAUGCUCAACAAUAUGAAGGUGUUGGUCAAAGAGACAACCCACGGCAGCAACAAGUUAAUGAGGUAAGUGCUAUUUUCGAACUUCUAAAUCAAAUGGCUAAUCUUACUACUCUUCUUUCACAGGUGGUUGAAAAACCAAAAGAACAAAGUGUAGCUGCUUGUUGCGUGUGCUCAAUGAAUGGACAUCUCAUGGAUAAGUGCCCUCAAUUGAUCAAGAACGAAUGGUGGGAAUCUGCCAAUGCCGUGGGUUUUGGGAGUCAAAACCAACCAAAGAAUGAUUCGUUCUUGAAUACAUACAAUCCAGGUUGGAAAGAUCAUCCAAAUUUCAAAUGGAGGGAGCCCCAACAAACCCAACAACAAAGUGCAUUUAGACAACAACCUCCGGGAUUCUAUCAAAGGCCGUAUGCAUUCGCACAACCCCAAACACAACCUGCCCAAAAUAACUCAGGUUUGUCUUUUGAUAAUGCUCAAGUUAUUCAAUUACUAACUAUGUUGGCGAAUGGUCAGGAAAAUCAAGCCAAAGAUAUGCACAAUUACGCCAAGGAAUUGCAAAAUCAAGCUCGAGAGGUGACUAAAUUGAAAAGACAAAUGAGACAAAUGGCUGAGUUCAUGGGGCAAUUUAGUAGAGAAUCAGGUAAGUUACCUAGUUCGACGGAUGUGAAUCCAAAGGGAGGCUUCGAAUUUGCCAAAGGCAUCACCUUGCGAAGUGGAAAAGAAGUUGGAUCUGAUCCCAGCCCAUCUAAGGGGUGGUUUGGGAGUGAGGUACUUAAAAAAAAAUCACGCAUGAAAAAAAAGCUGUGACGGUUUUAGGUGUUUGGUAAACUGAAAAAAAAGGGCUUAUUUUGGAAGCUGCUGUGAAAAUAAGCUGAAAUCAAAAGAAAAAGCUGAAGCUGCUAUUUGCAGCUUUGGAAAACUGGUUUUUUUUUCAAAGCACACGGAGCUACAAUACUCCUUUAAUGAAAAUACCUACUAUUAAACUGCUUUUUUUUUUUUCCAAAAGCACUUUUACAAAAAAGUUUACCAAACACUCUGGUAAUUUAUUUCACAGCCGCUUAUUCUCACAGCAGCUUUUUUUCAAAGCACAGCAAUACCAAACCAGCCCUAAAUCCAAUCAAAAGGAGGACGAAAAGAUGCAAUCUAAGGAGAAAGAACAAGGCCUGCCUUCGGCAAGGAUUGAGCAAUCUUUGCUGCAGCCACCUACACACCCUAAUUCGACCACCAAAGGUAAGUUAGGUUCAAAUUCCAUGACUUCUAAUUCCAUUCCACCCAAUGCACCUUUUCCUCGCAGGUUUAUGCAAUCAAAGAAGGAUGAGAGUGACAAAGACAUCCUUGACACAUUCAGAAAGGUGCAAGUCAACAUUCCACUUCUAUAUGCAAUUAAACAAGUCCCUAAGUAUGCUAAGUUCCUGAAGGAGCUGUGCACUACAAGGAAGAGGGCUUCGAACAAAGAGGUGGUAAGGGUAAGUGAGAAUGUCUCAGCUGUGUUGCAACGGAAAUUACCUCAUAAGUGCAAAGAUCCCGACAGUUUUACAAUUCCAUGUGUUAUAGGAAAUACUCGCUUUGAAUCUGCCAUGUUAGAUCUAGGUGCAUCAAUAAAUGUCAUGCCUUAUUCAAUAUAUGCAUCUAUGAACUUGGGAGAAUUAAAAAAUGAUGGAGUGAUCAUUCAACUGGCCGAUAGAUCUAAUACGUAUCCAAAAGGUGUUUUAGAGGAUGUUUUAGUACAGGUGAAUCACCUAGUCUUUCCGACGGAUUUCUACAUGCUUGAAAUGGAAGACUUGAACCAUUCCCCUCAAUUACCAAUCUUACUUGGCCGACCAUUCAUGAAGACUGCCCGUACAAAGAUAGAUGUAUUCAAGGGAACAUUGACCAUGGAAUUUGAUGGGGAAGUUAUUGAUUUCAAUAUUUCUGAUACUAUGAGAUAUCCUUAUGAUGGUCACUCUUGUUUCUCUAUUGAUGUAAUUGACUCUUUGGCGCAGGAAUUCCUUGAUGAUUUGAGUGCGGAUGCACUUGUAAAGACUCUCACGCAAAGCAUUGGACUCAAAAAUGAAAGGUUAGCACUUAGGCAUGCACACGGCAAUAACAAGGAACACUUUGCUGUGCCUAUUCAAGAAGAAUUGGUGGAGAUGGUUGCUGCCCUAGAGUCAAAUCCAAGGCAUAUUGGUAAGUCUCCUAACCUAAUAUCAAUUCGCAUUUCGACUAACAAUUUGCUUCCUUCUGUAAUCCAGCCCCCUUCCCUAGAGCUUAAACCAUUCCCUCGCCAUUUGAAAUAUGUGUUUGGGAGAACAAGAAACACUGCCCCGUCAUCAUCUCUUCUUCACUCACUGCACAAGAGGAGGACAAGUUGGUGAGGGUGCUUCGGGAAUAAAAAACUGCCAUUGGGUGGACAUUGGCCGAUAUCAAGGGAAUUAGCCCUACCACUUGCAUGCAUCGAAUACUCUUGGAAGAAUGAGCCAAACCAUCUAGAGAAGCACAACGCCUACUCAAUCCACCCAUGAUGGACGUUGUGAAGAAGGAAAUCAUCAAGCUACUAGAUUGUGGAGUGAUUUACCCAAUUUCUGAUAGCCAUUGGGUCUCGCCAAUCCAAGUUGUUCCUAAGAAGUCCGGAGUCAUUGUGGUAAAAAAUGAAGAUAAUGAGCUUGUGCCCACCUGAAUCCAAACCGGAUGGAGAGUUUGUAUUGACUAUCGGAAGCUCAACACUACGACAAGAAAAGAUCACUUCCCGCUGCCCUUUAUUGAUCAAAUACUGGAAAGGUUAACCGGUCAUUCAUUUUAUUGUUUUCUUGAUGGCUAUUCGGGGUAUAAUCAGAUUGUGAUAGCUCCUGAUGACCAAGAAAAGACUACCUUCACAUGUCCCUUUGGUACCUUUCCUUACCGACACAUGCCAUUUGGGCUAUGCAACGCACCAGCCACAUUCCAAAGGUGUAUGGUAAGUAUUUUCUCAGAAUUUGUGGAAAAUAUCAUUGAAGUGUUUAUGGAUGACUUUAGUGUUUUUGGUGACUCAUUUGAUGCAUGCUUGAAUAAUCUUACUUUGAUCUUACAACGAUGCAUUGAAACUAAUCUUGUCUUGAAUUGGGAAAAAUGCCAUUUUAUGGUAAAACAAGGUAUAGUUUUGGGGCAUAUCAUAUCAGAAAAAGGGAUUGAUGUUGAUAAAUCUAAAAUAGAUCUUGUACGUCACUUACCCUCUCCCACUUUGGUGAGGGAGGUUCGUUCUUUUCUUGGCCAUGCAGGAUUUUAUAGGAGAUUCAUCAAGGAUUUCUCAAAAAUCGCCCAACCCCUUUGUCGUUUACUCCAAAAGGAAGUAGCCUUCGAGUUCAACAAGGAGUGUGAGACCACUUUCACAACCCUCAAGGACAUGUUAGCUUCGGCCCCCAUCAUCACACCACCAGAUUGGAGCCUUCCAUUUGAGCUAAUGUGUGAUGCAUCCGAUUAUGCCAUUGGUGUUGUUUUAGGCCAAAGGAGGAACAAACAGCCCCACGUCAUCCAUUACGCUUCCCGAACCCUAAAUGAUGCUCAAUUGAAUUAUUCUACCACUGAGAAUAACUUCUUGUAGUUGUAUUUGCUUUAGAUAAAUUUCGUUCAUACUUACUUGGCACUAAAGUCAUUGUAUAUUCUGACCAUGCAGCGUUAAAGUAUCUUCUCACCAAGAAGGAGGCCAAACCAAGGCUGAUUCGUUGGAUGCUCCUACUUCAAGAGUUUAACAUUGAAAUAAGAGACAAAAAGGGGAGUGAAAACGUGGUGGCUGACCACCUUAGCCGUUUAGUGCACGAGGAUGACUCCUUACCCAUUCUAGAGACAUUCCCUGACGAGCAAUUGAUGUCCCUAGAGGUAAGUGAGCCCUGGUAUGCUGAUUUGGUCAAUUAUUUGGUCACAAAACAAGUUCCUAGCACUCUAAAUAAAUACAAGCGUGAUAAACUUAGAAAUGAUGCACGAUUUUAUGUGUGGGAUGAUCCAUAUUUGUGGAAUUAUUGUCCUGACCAGAUUAUUCGUAGAUGUGUGCACAAUUCCGAGUUUAAUUCAAUUCUUGCAUUUUGCCAUAGUUAUGCAUGUGGGGGUCAUUUUGACACCGAAAUGACAACCCUUAAGGUUUUAGAGAGUGGUUUCUAUUGGCCUGCAUUGUUUAAGGAUGCUAGAACAUUUUGUAUAGCUUGUGAUAGAUGCCAAAGAGUAGGUACAAUAGGUGCCAAUGACCAAAUGCCGUAAACCCCCAUCUUUAAUGUGGAUAUCUUUGAUGUAUGGAGUAUGGAUUUCAUGUGACCCUUUCCGCCCUCAUAUGGUUUUACUUAUAUUUUGCUAGCCGUUGAUUAUGUGUCGAAAUGGGUGGAAGCCAAAGCCACCCGUACUAACGAUUCUAGAGUGGUGGCAGAUUUUAUCAAGGCUAACAUCUUUUCCAGAUUUGGCAUGCCGAGGGUGUUCAUAAGCGAUGGAGGCUCCCAUUUUUGCAAUCGCACCAUUGGGCGCUGUUUAAAAAGUAGAAUGUGAAGCAUCAGGUUUCCACGCCAUACUACCCUAAAAAAAGUGGCCAACCCGAAGUCUCAAAUAGAGAAAUCAAGCAAAUCUUGGAGAAGACUGUUGGGCCAAACUGGAAGGAUUGGAGCUUGCGUUUAGAUGAUGCACUGUGGGCAUAUCGCACUGCCUACUAAACACCUCUAAGGAUGUCUCCAUUUCGACUAAUCUACGGCAAGCCGUGUCACCUACCUGUGGAACUGGAGCACAAAGCGCACUAGGCUGUGAAAACAUUCAAUUUGGACUUAGAUGCUGCUGGAAUGAAUAGGAAGCUCCAACUGAGUGAACUUAAGGAGAUACAGAAUGAAGCCUAUGAGAAUGCGCGAAUUUACAAGGAGAAAACAAAGGCAUUUCAUGACAAAAUGAUUCGGGGAAAAACAUUCUCAAUUGGACAGAAAGUGCUACUAUUCAAUUCCCGUCUACGAUUGUUCCCUGGUAAGUUACGGUCUAAGUGGAUUGGGCCAUUUGUUGUCACUAAUGUUUUUCCCCAUGGUGCAGUCCAAGUUAAAAGCUUAAGGAACGGCGACAAAUUCAAAGUGAACAGGCAUCGUCUGAAGCUAUACUAUGAGAGUGAUGUGUGGCAGAUUGUGGAAGAAAUCCCACUCAGUGCCAUGUGCCCUAUCCAAGCUUAGAAGGAAGUUUUGUCCGGCUGUAAGACGUUAAAUCAAGCGCUUCUUGGGAGGCAACCCAUGUUUUGCGUUCCUAAAAACCUUCCCUUUUCUGCAGUUUUAUUUUGCCAUGAUUGUCAUUUUUAUUUGUUGCUUGUUUAAUUGUUUUUUUGUGUGGGUUUAUUUUUGAAACAUUUACAGAUAUACAAGGUAUUUUUACAUUAAAAUUCAUUGAAAAUGAGCAGGAGGCAGAAAAAUACAAGAAGCAGCCAUCACAAAGGUUGCUUAGGAGAAGUCUCAGUAGUCGGCGGAGCCUCAGCAGUCGGCGGAGACACAGAAGGAGGAGGUAUCAGAGGUUGAUCAUUUAGAGCUUCACUACGCGGUACAGCCCUAGAAGACGAAGGCAAAUGCUGUUGGAACAAACCCACAAACCUCUGAUAAUCAAGUAAAAUCUGACCAUCAGAUUCCUGCAUCUGGUCAAUCUUCCUCUUCAUGUUUGUAGCAUAGUUAUGUGCAAGCCUGUGCAACUAUUUAUUCUUAUGCUUGAGCCCUCUAAUCUCCUGUUUGAGACUCAUCACUUCAGCUGCCAAUGAUUCAACUUUACGGGUUUAACCAAAUAGACGUUGGGCCAUAUUAGACACAAAACCUGCACACUGCACAUUGAGAGCCAGAGAAUCCUUAACAGCCAACUUAUCAGACCAUUUAGAAAGUAGUCUAUUAUCUUUGAGAGUGACAAGGUUCUGGGCCACCACCGCAGCGAUCAUAUCAUUCUUCAUCACCGAAUCCCUAACGGUAAGAUGACCAGUAGAGGAUAUGAAGGAUGGGCGCCAUAUGUUGUCUGGAGAAGGCAUGGAUGCCUCUUCACCAAGGUUCAAGUCAAAACGACGGUCGGAGGGGCCAGAUAUUUUCAAAGGUGUUGAAGAAAGAAGAGGUCGGACAAAUCGAGAUCUUAAAAGUGCAAUGAAGGGAGUUUCUACAGGCGGAAAUUCAAGUGUGAUUUGAAACAAACUGCGUGCCUCUAUAAAAAUCAGCACUCGACAGGAUUUCAGAAAUCGAAGAGGCGAGCUUAGAAAUCGAAGAGGCCAAUUCAAAAAUUGAAGAGGCGCUAGCUUUCUCAAAAGCUGGGCUUGCUCAGAAACCACGAGCCAUCCUCUUUUCCAGAUUUGUCCGCACUUGUCACGUGCAACCUCUGCACUCGACGGAGCUCAAAAAUCGAAGAGGCAAGCUCAGAAAUCGGAGAGGCAUUUGCUUUUCCAGACGUGUCACCAUUUAUCACAUGCACACUCAGCCUUGUGAAAAUCACGGGCAAUUUGUCGAAGCGCCGAUUUCAGAUAUCGAAGAGGCACCUGCUUUUCCAGACGUGUCAACACCUGUCACAUGCACACUCAGCCUUACGGAAAUUACAGGCGAUCUGUCGAAGAGUUUUGGUGAUGUAGAAAGCACGUGAAGUUUACUGUUCAAUCAUCCAACGGUUGCCGACAAGAGUGAAAGAAUAGUACCGGUUAUUAAUUCAUAUAAAUGUUGACCUUCACCCUCCAUUGCAAGGUAGACAUACAUAACCCUUCUUCAUCUCCGAGAAUACCUUCCCAACAAAGCCUUUCGAGUCACUCAGUGUUCCUUAUUCCCUGUGAUACCUUUGCAAACAACCCAUCAAAAGAAAAAGUAUUUCAUAUCAUGAAGGUUGAAAGCAAGAGUAUCUCAUAUCAUGUUUUCUCCCUGUCCUUCUCCUUAUCGUUGUUUUCACCUGCGGAACAAGGAGAAAGAGAGCAAUCAGCCAGCACUUGGUAUCAAUCUUCCGAUCUGGAAUCGACUGCCUGGAACCCCUUCCUGAUUGCUUACCUAGCCUUGCUCUCGAGUACUCAUUUCAACAUCUUAUGCUUCCUCAAAAGCUACCACAUCUGCCUGGAGAACAGAUAAGGGAAGUGAAAAUGAUACCUCGAAGCAUGUGGAGACAAUAUGCUAAUUCAUCCUCAGCUAGGGACAAGGAGAAAGAAAGCAAAUGGUCAGCACUUGGAAAGAUUGAAAAAGGAAACAGACCAUCACCUCUACCUUGUGCCUGCCUGCCGUGCAGAAGAAACAAGCAGAGAAGAAUGCAGACUGCACAACCAAGAAACUCUAAUAUUCCUCGCUCAAAAUUCCAAACCAGUUUGAGAUCAAAGCUGUGGAAAGUCAACAAGAUCAUCUAUCUCCAAAACCAGAUUUGCGUUCUUAAACUCUACUCUGUCUGGUUUUUACUUUGCUAUACUUGUCAUGUUUAUUCGUUGUUUGUUUGUUUGCUUGUUUUUGUGUGAGUUUAUGCUUAAAACAUUGAGGACAAUGUUUGAUUUAAGUGUGGGGGGGUAACCAAGAUGUUUUGCAUGAAAUUCGUAGGAGUUUAUCACCCAUUACUUCUAGUGUUGUUCCUUGCUGUUUUAAGUGUUUUUAAGCUGUUUUGGAGUGUUUUAGUGUGUUUUGACAUAAAAAUCCGAAAAUCUCAUAAAAAUUUGAAAAAUUGUUUUGAAAAAACCCAAAAAGAGUUGUUUUUAUGUGUUUGUUUGUGUCUUAGGGUACCUUCCAACACAAUGAUGAGGAUUUGGUUUUUAAUUACAUGACUGUUAAAGAGAGUUAUAAACAUGGAUGAAAAUUUGAUUUACUCUUUGGUGUAUGCUUGGUUGUGGUUAUAAUUUAUGAAUUCACAUCCAAUCAUAAAGGAAAAUUUAGUUUUUGUAACAUGCUUGAAGGAAGGAACUCAAAUGAACGCUACAACCUUAUGAGACUUGAGCCUAAAACGUUUAUUUGGAGAGUUAAUAAUCUGUGCACCAUUGUGUUCUAAAGUCGUUGCAUGAUCUCAUUAUUCUUUGCUUGGUUGCUACUUAGAAGGCAUUUCAUCAUUUAGUUCCAAAUGCUAGAACUCAUGCCUAUUUCAUUCAAAGCAUGCUAUUGAUUUGCAUAACACAUAUUCAAGAUGAAGUUGUAUAGUGACCACCAAAGCCAAAUUGCAAUGCCCCUAUUUCAUUAUGUGUUUAAGUUUAACCCCGUUGAGUCUUGUUAAGCCUAUGUUCUUUGUUAACCCACAUUAUCCUUACCUAGCCUAGUUUUAAGACCAUCCAUACCCUUAUUCUUGAAACAUAGUAAAGCAUGACUUAAAAUGGACUCCUUUUUUUAUCAAUGUAUUGCAGAAAGCAAGUGUGGGGGAAGUGAUUCUUGUGUGUGUGUGUGCGCGCCAAAGUCCUUAAUAAGGCACGGGUAGAAAAGAAAAAAAAAGAGUAAAAAAAAAAGAAAAUUGAAAAGAGUAUGAAAAAGAGCUCUAAAGUGUUGUUUGUUAAACAAGGGUCCAAAACAUUGAAUUCGGCCCUAAGUGUUGCAUGAAUCUUCCCUUUGUAUUUAAAAGUUGAUUCUGCAUUCUAAAGUGAAUUCCAAGUGUCUAUUUCAUUGCUUUGCUUGCUAUCACUUUAAGAACGUUUGUUAUUCCUAUCCUUUCUUUAUUAGCCAUUACCCCCAAGCCCUGUUACAACCCUUGAUUUCAAUCUUGAGUGUUGUGUGUUUUGUGGAGUUCGAAAUUGGUAUAAGCAUAUGGUGUCACUGGUUCUCGCAUCUAAGUAGUAGCAUUCCAUUCAUGAGAUCAUAUCUAAACAUGCUUAAUAACUCCAGAAAAUAGCUUUCUUUGUUAUAACAUAUGUGAGUCCUAGUCUUUCGUGUUUACAUUAAUCUUCUCACAUAUACUAGUGUAUGGUGUGGAGUCAGAAAAUGUGUGUGAAAAUAGAGAGUAUCUUGUAGGAAAUUGAGCAAAUUCUCUAAGGCAUGUUACUACAUUCAAAACAUUGUUUUAAUUGGUUAAUUGUGAACUAGUAAGUGGUGACUGUGAUUAAGUAUGUGCUCAAGUGUAAAGAUGACCAAAAUCUAUGGGAAUGAUGAUUUUUAACAUGUCAUGUUUCAUUAAAAAUCCCUGAGACAAAUGUUGGAAGGUCUAGGUUAUGUUUUGUUUGUUUUGUUUCUUUUGUUUCUUUUGUUUUGCUCGAGAACUACCAAAAGCUAAGUGUGGGGGAAUUUGAUAGGAGCAUAUUUAUGCGACUUAGUUUGCUUGUUGUUGUGCAUUUAUGUUGUUAUUUCUUAGUUGAUUUAGUAUUUCAAGCCAUUUUCGUGUGGUUGUAGGUACAAAGGGUUAAAGAGGCAAAAAAUUGCAUUUUGGUGCCUUUUGGAGCAUUUUUGGGCAUGGAAUGGAUAUCACAUGCUUGGAGCAAAGUGGUUGGACGAAAUUAAAGAUCCAAAGAAGCUAGGAAUGUGCCAAGGAAAGGAAUAAAAUAAAUUGAGGACCAAGGAAGACAAGGAAACCAUUAAGAAUGAGGAAAGACUAGUCAAACUUGCCUUAUCUUGUCGUUACCUUUCCUAAUCCUAAAUUACCAAAGAUUUAGUCACACAAAGGGUUCCUAAAUAAUUUGGGAUAUUUCAUUACAUAUUCUACAAGUCCUAAACCUACCCUAAAAGUCCAAGCCAUAUCAUCCUUCACCAUUUCUCUUCCUUGCCGUGCAACAGAGCCAUCCCUUUCCUAUUUUCUCCAUAAAUCACUCCAAUUUCCACCCAUGCCAUGCACAUUCAUCCAUGUUCCCUCCUUGCACUCAUUUGCUGCACCAUUCCAUUUCCUUUCCUUUGUCUACCAUGUGCACAAUAUCCUUUCACCUCCUUGCACUCAUUGAUUCACCACUUACUCACAUUUCCACCCAUGCCAUGCAUAAUCACCCUUGUCCCCUUCAUGCACCAGAUUUCUUGCACUCAUUUCAUACACCAUUACACUCAUUAUCCCUCAUUUCCGUGUACCAUCCUUGUCUCCUUCAUUAUUUUUGAUUUCAUACACCAAAACAUUGAAUCAUUGCACUCAAUUGCUGCACAUUCCUUGUCCCCUUCACCCAUCAGAUUUCAUACAACUUUUACCUCCACUACAUGCACUCAUUGAUGCACCAUCCACCACCUUUGGAAUCCCAUGCCAUGCAUCAUGACUCAACCUGCAUCUUUGACUCAUUUCUGCACCAUUCCACCUCCAUUUCCUUUCUCUACCAUGUGCACAAUCAUUCAUGUUCCCCACUUGCAUUCAUAGCUGCAGCACCACUCCAUUUUACCCCCCAUAUUUUGCAUCAUUACUUCAUUUUCACCCUUGAAUUAUUACACACACCACUAAUUUCCCUCCAUUGCAGUGCACUUCCUCUAUAAAAGGAAGUGUGUGUGGCAGCCAUAGAGUUAGUUUUUGCUUGAUCAUUCAUCCUCAUUUCAAUACAACCUUCAUCCAAACACAUCCAUUCAUCUUUACAUCCAUUCCUCCAUACAAACAAACCUUCAAACACUCACCAACACCUUGUGCCGUAGCAAAGGAAGGGAAGGAAAGUGCUUGGACGUGCUUGCUGUCCAACUUGGAUCGUUGGAGCGUUUAGGUGUUUCUUUCUUUUGUUUCCAAUGUUUAAAUUCAUUUUCUUUCGUUUUGUUGUCAAUAUGAGUGGCUAAACCCCUCUUGCUAGGGGUGAUUUCAAAGCCAUGUUUAUGUGUGUAAUAUGAUUUGAUAAAUUCCAGUUAUGAACUCUUGAAUCAUGAAUACAAUUGGCUUAACUAUUUGAUUGAUAACUUAUUUGUAUUUGUUAAUUAAGGGUCGACACUUAAUUGGCAUGCAUAAAUCCAAUGCUAGAAUAUAAGAAAGUUUCACAUAAUUGUUACAAACUUAUAUUCAUAAGUAGUGGAGGUCGCUUAUAAACGAUCGCGUUAAGUUUAAUUCCUAGCAUGAGUGACAUGAUGUCAUAGUUGCAAGUGCUUUGUCAAUACUUAUGAUUUUCAUUAAACGUAAUGAUCUUUGAUUGUAUCUCUAUUACGAUGUCAUGUAGGGAACUUUUGAAGAAUGUUUUGGGUUGUCGAAUGAUGUCAUCCAAUCCAAUAAAACAAGGAAAAUCUGAGAGUUAACUAGUGAUGUCACGGUUAAUUUGGAGCAUUGUCAUUCAUAAUUCAAUGAAGUAGUAACUGGAAAUCGAGUUGUUUGCAUACAUGUCAUGUGUGGAGAAAAAGCCUCUAGCUAUCCCAUCCAUCAACUUAUUUCUCAAAUUUGUUUUACAAUCUAUCUAGUUUUUCAUACUUGUUUGUUUGUUUCAACUUCAUCCAAAUCAAAACCCCCCCUUUUAGUUUCUUGUUUCAAAGUGUUUCAAAUCUGUUUUAGUUUGUGUUUUUAAGUGUUUUGAUUCAAGUAAAAGUCAAUUUUCGUCCAAAGUCAUUCCUAGUAUCUAGUUUAAGUUUAUUUUGUUGUUUUAAGCUGUUUUGAGUAUUUUAAGUUUGCUUUGAGUCUUGUGAGUCUUGUUAAGUGCUUUUAAGUUAGUUUUAUGUUUUUGAGUCAGUUUAGAGGUUAUUAGCAAGCCCUCCUAAUCCCCGGUCCAGAACGAUCCCUACUUAUACUUAUAUUACAAUUGUUAAAAGAGGGUUAAAUUUGUGUGUUAAGAUAAUUUUCGCAUCAAACGAGAAGUGGCUGCAUCAAUCCAAAAGGCUUCUUUCUUUCUGCUUUGACUUGCUAACAAAUGAUACACCUACUCACAUAUUCAGCAAUUUCUCUUUUCAUACAUGGCCAAUAAUAAAAUGGUUGAAUGGUAUGAUACAUUUUUGUACCUCCUGGAUGCAUUGCAUAAGCUGAAAUAUGUGCUUCAUCAAGAAUUUCUUUCUUUAAUUCCAUAUUAUUCGGCACAUACAUCCUACUAUCCUGCAUAAGCAUGCCAUCAAUUUCUCGAAUUCUGAAGUCCUUCUUCUUCCCCUGAUUCCUUGCUUGAAUUAUUUCUUGGGUCUCUUCAUCAUCCAUCUGGGCUUCAAGUACACGAUCAAUUAAAAUUGACCUAACUUGAAAAUUUGCAAGUAAGGAAGGCUUUAUCUUGAUCUUCCACACCUAACUUCACUCCGGUGGACUUUAAAUCUGCAAGAAGAGGAACAUGGCAAUCAUAAAUGGCAUUAAGUCUAACUGGAGUUUUCCUACUAAGUGCAUCAGCCACUACAUUCGCACGACCAGGGUGAUACUCAAUCAUGCAAUCAUAAUCACUAAGCAACUCAAUCCACCUUUGUUGCCGAAUAUUAAGAUCCCUCUGAGUAAAAAGAUACUGAAGACUCUUAUGAUCUGUGAAGAUCUUACAUUUCUCACCAUAAAGAUAAUGUCUCCAAAUCUUCAAAACAAAGAUGAUAGCUGCUAACUCCAGAUCAUGAGUAGGGUAAUUCAUCUCAUGAGGCUUCAAUUGUCAUGAAGCAUAAGCAAUCACCCUACCAUGUUGCAUCAACACACAUCCCAAACCAUUCAAGGAAGCAUCACUGUAGACCUUAAAAUUUCCGCUAUCAUCUGGGAAUGCUAAAACAGGUGUAUGAGUGAGAUAAUACUUUAGCUGUUCAAACUUUGCUCACAAUUAUCAUCCCACUCAAACUUAACUUCUUUUCUAGUCAACCUCGUUAACGGCAAAUCAAUGAUUGAAAAAUCCUUAACAAACCGUCUAUAAUAGCCUGCUAAACCAAGAAAACUCCGUAUCUCAGUGACGGUUCGAGGUUGUUCCCAAUUCUCCACAGCUGCUACCUUCUGAGAAUCCACCUAAAUACCUUGAGCAGAUAUAACAUGUCCCAAAAAUGCCACUUGAUUUAACCAAAAUUGGCAUUUGCUAAACUUAGCAUACAACUGAUGUUCCCUUAAUUUCUUCAACACCAAAGUAAGAUGUCGAACAUGCUCUGCUUUAGACUUAGAGUAUACCAGAAUGUCAUCAAUAAAAACAAUGACAAACCUAUCUAUAUAUGGCUGGAAUAUGUGAUUCAUCAAAUCCAUGAAAGCUGCCAGCGCAUUUGUUAAUCCGAAUGGCAUCACAAGAAACACAUAAUGACCAUAACGAGUCCUAAAAGCAUUCUUAGGGACAUCCUCACUGAUGAUCUUCAACUGGUAAUAACCAGACCUCAAAUCAAUCUUAGAAAAUAAACAGACACCUCGAAGUUGAUCAAACAAAUCAUAUAUACGCAGCAAUGGAUAACGGUUUUUAAUUGUUACCCUAUUCAAUUGCCUAAUCAAUACAUAGCCUCAAAGUCUCAUCUUUCUUCCUUACAAACAAAACUGGAGCUCCCUAGGGUGAAGUACUAGGCUGAAUAAAACCUUUAUCGAUUAAUUCCUGCAACUGGACUUUCAAUUCCCUCAAUUCAGCAUGAGUCAUUCUAUAUGGAGUCAAAAAUAUAGGAUCCGUACCUGGAAGCAAAUCAAUAGUGAACUCCACAUCUCGGUAUGGCGUUAAUCCAGGUAAAUCAUCAGGGAAUACAUCAGGAAAAUACGUGACUAAUCGAACAUCCUCCAUACUACUAGAAGCAACAUCAUUUAGCACUACAUGAGCUAAAUAUCCUUGGCAACCUUUUGAUAACAACCUUUUCACUCUUACAGCAGAAAUAACAUCGUGCCUCACCCCACUACGAUCACCCACAAAAGUACCUUCAGGUAAUCCAGGACGACGACAUAACAUUUUUCCCCUAUAGGCAUAGCAAUGUCACAUCCUGGCCCAUGCCGGACCACUUCUCGGGUCCGCACUACCACCGUAGCAUGAUAUUGUCCGCUUUGGGCCCCGACCACGCCCUCACGGUUUUGUUUCUGGAACUUACGAGCAACUUCCCAGUGGGUCACCCAUCUUGGGAGUGCUCUGGCCUUCUUCUUGCUUAACUUCAGAAUUCCUACGGAACCCGAAGCCAGUGAGCUCCCAAACGGCCUCGUGCUAGGUAAGGAUGAGAAUAUACAUUUAAGGAUCACUCCCAUGGGCGAUGUGGGAUGUUACAAUUGGCAUCGUCACAUCCCGGCCCUGGACGGACCAUCACAUCCCAGGUGCGUUCCACCACCGUAGCACGAUAUUGUCCGCUUUGAGCUUACCAUUCCCUUACGGUUUUGUUUUUAGGAACUCACGAGCAACUUCCCAGUGGGUCACCCAUCCUAGAAGUGCUCUGGCCUCAUUCUCGCUUAACUUCGAAGUUCCUACGGAACCUGAAGUCAAUGAGCUCCCAAAAGGCAUUGUGCUAGGUAGAGAUGGGAAUAUACAUUUAAGGACCACUCCCCUAGGCGAUGUGGGAUGUCACAAUCCACCCCUUUAAGGGCCCGACGUCCUCGUCGAUACACUUCCAGCCAGGAAUUGGCCCUGAUACCAUUUGUCACAUCUCGGCCAGGGACGGACCACCACAUCUCAGGCCUGUUCCACCACCGUAGCACGAUAUUGUCCACUUUGGGCUAACCAUUCCCUUAUGGUUUUAUUUUUGGGAACUUACGAGCAACUUCCCAAUGGGUCACCCAUCCUAGGAGUGCUCUGGCCUCGUUCUCGCUAAACUUCGGAGUUCCUACGGAACCCGAAGUCAGUGAGCUCCCAAAAGGCCUCGUGCUAGGUAGAGAUGGGAAUAUACAUUUAAAGAUCACUUCCUUAGGGGAUGUGGGAUGUCACAAUCUACCCCCUAAGAGGGCCCGACGUUCUCGUUGGCACACUUCCGGCCAAGAAUUGGCUCUGAUACCAUUUGUCACAUUCUGGCCCCGGACGGACCACCACAUCCCAGGCCCAUUCAACCACCGUAGCACGAUAUUGUCCGUUUUGGGCUUACCAUUCCCUCACAGUUUUGUUUUUAGGAACUUACGAGCAACGUCCCAGUGGGUCACCCAUCAUGGGAGUGCUCUGAACUCCUUCUCGCUUAACUUCAGAGUUCCUACGGAACCUGAAGUCAAUGAGCUCCCAAAAGGCCUCGUGCUAGGUAGAGAUGGGAAUAUACAUUUAAGGAUCACUCCCCUGGGCGAUGUAGGAUGUCACAAUCCACCCCCUUAGGGCCCCGACGUCUUCGUCGGUACACUUCCGGCCAAGAAUUGGCUCUGAUACCAUUUGUCACAUCCCGGCCCGGGACAGACCACUACAUCCCAGGCCCGUUCCACCACCGUAGCACGAUAUUGUCCGCUUUGGGCUUACCAUUCCCUCACGGUUUUGUUUUUGGGAACUUACGAGUAACUUCCCAGUGGGUCACCCAUCCUGGGAGUGCUCUGGCCUCGUUCUCGCUUAACUUCGGAGUUCCUACGGAACCCGAAGUCAGUGAGCUCCCAAAAGGCCUUGUGCUAGGUAGAGAUGGGAAUAUACAUUUAAGGAUCACUCCCAUCGGCGAUGUGGGAUGUCACAGCAAACUCUAAAUGACAGAAUGCGUAGCACCAUAAUCAAUUAAAACUCUAGCAAAGUGGCCAAGAAUGUUUUUAACGAACCCAUGAUCAAGUCCGAAUGAUUCUGAGCAUCUUGUAGAAAUAUAUUGCUAAUACGUCCCUUGGCUUGAUGUCGUCCCCCAUGACCUCUAUUAGCUUGAUUACCUCACCCCUGACUUGGCUGACUAGAUUACCUUGAAGAUCCCACACUACUAGAAGCAAUCUCUACUUGUUGGGGCUGUCAUCCCUGGUACCACUGAGAUCCACCAGCUGGAAUGGAAGGAUACAGUUUAUACACUCCAGGAUACUGAGAAUACUCACUUUGGUAAUAAAGAUCUUGCGAAUACUGAUAUGGUCAUGGAGCAUAAGGAGCGGCAUCAUCUUGAUAAUGGUAAGCACCACCUCAACCCAUCUAACCAUAACUACCAAACCUUGGAACUUGCUGGAUCGGCGCUGGUGGUAGCAUAAAAGGUUGCUGGGGUCUCUACUGAUUCUAGGGACAAUUUAUAGCUUUAUGUCCCAUCUCCCCACAAGUAAAACAUCCACUGCUGCCCCGCCUACACUCUCCAAAAUGCCUAUUAUUACACCUGCGACACAAUGGAGCACUUCCUUGUCCAACAUCUCCUUACCUCUGGAAUCUAGGACCUCCUGAAAAUCUACCACCUCUCCUCUAACCAGUGGCACUUAAACCUCCGCUAGAAGAACUGGAACUAGUUUCAUUCCUCUUAAAACUCUGAGUUUUGCAAGGUCCUUGAGAAGACUGACGUUUACCCUUAUCAUCUCGCCUCUGAUUCCCAUUCUUUUCUUCUUCAUCUUCACUCUCACUGGGCAUAUUCUCUGAGUCCUCAGUCCUCAACAAAAUCUCAUAAAACUCCUGGUAAGUAGCACAGGGAGUCGAGGUUGCUAUCAAACGAUUUCUUUUUAGUACCCAACCUGAAAUGACGGAGCAUCUCAACAGGAUUAGCAACAACCUCCGGAUGAUAGCGAGACCAGUCAGUGAAUCUCCUAUAAUACUCAUUUGCUGUCAUCUUCCCCUGCUUUAAUUGAGUAAACUCUUGCUUUUUACGAUCAAUAUACUUACGUGGAAUAAACCUUUUCUGAAACAACUGUUUAAACACUUCCCAGUUAGCUACUUCCUCUGGUGACAACUGAUAAGACUCUUGUCUCCACCAGGAUGCAGGUUCCGGACCCAGAAACCAGGUAGUUGUCUCGACCCAUCUAUCAAGAAGAAGAUUCCCCUGACUUUGCAUUACACGGAAAGUCUUCUCAAGAUGAUUGAUCCAUUUCUCUGCUCCUUCAUGUCCUUCAUUCCCCAUAAAAAUGAUUUAGCUUCAGAUUAUACAUAGUCUCAAGAUGUGUCAUUUAGGGAGGACAAAGUGAAGACUGAAUGGCAUUAGCUAUAGUUUCCCCUAACUGACCUAUAUUGGGGAAACUAGGCUCAACAGAAGGACGUGGAUCUCUAUGAGGUGGCAUAGUUAUGACAGAAGACACUAAAAUAAUUAGAAGAUUCACAAGAUAUGCAGGACUGCAAACCUAGGCUCUGAUACCAAACUGACACACCUCGAUCUAAAUCAAGGCGUGUUGGCCAUCACGUGAGAGUGACGUAACCAUGUGCACAGUGUGGAAGCAAAAUUGAUAUAGAGAAAUACGAAUGAAUAAAAACCAAACUACUAGCAGUACUAGCUAAGAUAGUGCCAGUGCGAGAUUAAGUGUGAAAUACACAACCAGAGCAUAACUAGCCUAAGUGCAGUCAAGCAGGACAAGUACUAAUUAUACAAUACCCAAGGGUGAUCCUACAUUUAUGAUGUUCUGUCAGAACCAUCGUUGAAAUCCUCGUGAGCCACCAAAGCACUUCUACCUAAAACCUCGAGGGGCACAAAACAAAAAGUGUGAGUGGGCAAAAACAAAGCUUUUCAAAAUCAUUUCAUUCCAUAAAAGUUCUAACCCCUCGUCGUAAAACCUGUAUAAUUUACCAGAAAAUAUAUAUACUAUAACAUAAAUCAUGCUCAGGAUGAAAAUCAUAUAAAUAUACCAUGCCAAAGUAUCUCAAUAAAAUGCUAUAAGUAAUCUAAUUCAAAUAUAUCAAUGCCAAAUAUCAUAUCAGCUGAAUCCACCUAACGUCACCUGCGCGGCUGAGUAUAUAGCUCAUAGCCAAUCUCAAUUGUAUCAAAUUCUGCACAUGAGUUAGAACCACUUAAAGUGGUCUGUACGACAGGACUAGGUGUAAAAUAAAUAUGCUAUAGUGCUACGAUCACAUGAAGACUGUGCGAAUGAUCGCGGGUCACCUACAAGUCGGAAUCAACUAAAGUGGUUUGUACGACAAGCAUGUGCACCUAACUUGUUUCCAAGGUGAGCAUAUGGUGCGGGAGGUAAACAUCACAUGAAGGAUUGUGCCCUAACUCUGGGCGGGAGCACUAACACCGGGGUGAAGAUUUAUGAGCUCUCAAUACAUCAUAUCAUAUCUCGCAUAACUAAAGUAAUCUCAUAUCUUUAAUUUAUGAUCUUACCUGACACUUACCUGUGCGUCUGCAACACCAAUCAUAAAUAUAUGCAACUACUAAUGCAUAAAUAAAAUAGGUAGAUACUUUGCAUGGCAUUUCAAAAUGUAUAAUCAUUCAAAUUCAUUUUCUAGGGAAAUCUCAAGUAUAUAGGUAUAUACGGAAAACCAAAAGCCCACUCACUGAUAUGUCGAAGGGUCGUAGCCCCCGAGCCUCGACUGAUGGCGCUCGUCCUUAGGAUAGGUCUCAUCUAUAUGCGAAAUAACUAAAUAAACGUUAUUUAAAGCACAUACACAAAACUAGGAAAUAACUUUUCAUACAAUGCUAAAAUGGGGUAUUUGAAUAUACCACCAUGACCUACUCAACCUCAGGAACAUCCCCAUAUUUUUAGAAAAAUUUUCCGACCACCCACGCGCCUUCACGCACCGGCCAAACACGCGGCUCACGUGCAGGCACGUGCCUGGCACACCAAACGGAUUCCCUAACGGCGUUAGGGAAUUUUCCGUUAAAUAUAAGCAUAAACCGUUAAUUAUACCUGACGAUGUUAGAAUAUUCUAUCAACUUUGACAGAAUAUUCUCCUCCUUCUUCCUUGGUUCGUCCGAGUCCGGCGCCGGUGCCUCUGCAAUCGUAAGAAACUGGAAAAUCUUGGAACUUCAAUAUCUUCUUCAUUUCUCAACAAAAAUUCAUGAAACUUGUACCAAAAUGAAGCUUACAACAAGUAGAACAAAACCCUACCAAUUUUAAGCCCUAAAAUCCAAGGCAUCUCGCCGAAGAAACCUCGAUAAUCCGGCCAAAACUUGAAACUAGCGAACUGGGACUUCCCGACGUCCAAAACACUCCAACUUUCUUCCCUGAGCUUCGUGAAGAUGUUUUAAGGCUUCCUAUUACCUUAAAACUUGCUGAAAAGUCCACAUUUACAACUACAUGAACAGUAACCCAAAUCUGGGAUCCUGGUUUCACGGGUUUUCGAGGUUUUCGAGGUUUUCAUGUCAAAUUAAGGGUAUGGAUGAGCUCCUAAGUUCACAAGGAACACAAAAACAACCUCCUCGAUGUCAAUCCGAGUAAGAUGAAGCUAGUUUGAAGAGUGACCGUACAACUUGUACGGAAAAUGGAUAAAAUUCGAGAGAAUGAAAGAGAGAGAGAAGGGUCAACGGGUUGCUUGGGUGUGUGUGAGUGGUCCUAGUUUGGGUUACCAACCAAAACAAACAAAAGCUUAAGUUCUAGUUGGGUCCAAAAAUUUUAGAAACUUCACAUAUUGGACCACCUCUGAAAGCAUGUCACACACAACACACCUCAACAUCCAAUGGCAAAAUAGACAUUUCACACUAACGAUAAAAUAAUUCGGGACGGGCUGUGACAGGGGGCCGGCUGUAUUGAGGGAGAAGAGAGAGUGAAUUAAUUAUGAGGUGUGUUUGUAUCACCCCCAUUGUGCCUUUAUUUAUAGUAGAAAAAUAGGCAAAAACCUUACCAUUUAGAAUUACAACUCUUAAUAGUAAUCACCUCCUAAUAGGAUUUACACAAUCACAUUAUUAUUCUAAAUUGACUGCAAUAAUUUGUAGAUAAAUUCAUCUUUUUUAUGGAGUUGAAAGAUAUAGGAAUAAUCUCGGUUUUUGUAAUUGGAUGCUAAUUUCACCCACAUUAACACCCAAAUAACGAUCCAAACAUUUAUUAGUUACCAGAAAACUAUCCUAAAAUGUUGAAUUUCAUGUCUUAUUUUGUAAUAAUAUCAUCACAUUCUGUUCCACGCGUUGCCGCUCGUGCAGUAAUAUGACCAGUCCAACACGACCAAAGGUCAAAGACUUUCACGCGCGUGCCGUACGUAUACGCGGGCUUUUGCAUGCUGCCGAUUAAUCGGCCAAAAUGCCUUCCUGGAAAUUUCUACUCGGACCACUCACUCUCUCCUCUUUUACCUCUCACUUUCCUCCCCAGCUAAAUCUUCAGUUCAAAUGCACUCCACAUAAAAUCCCCUUACGCAAUUCCAUACCCUCCCCAACCCAAAAUUCUCCCUCCCUCUCUCUCUCUCUCUCUCUCUACACACCCAACCAAUCCCAUCCCCAAAACGCUGCGUAUCACAUGACGGACUACCGGAUACCGCCGACGGCGAAUAUGUGGACGGACGACAACGCGUCCUUGAUGGACGCGUUUAUAAACUCAUCGGAUCUGACGUCGUUUUGGGCGGCUCCGCCGGCCCAGCCCACGCUUCAACCUGCUCACGCCCCGGUUCAGCCGCAAUCCUCGGCCUCCACGUCAGACUACCCCAAGCCCCCUGUCGCCGCCCAAUUCCAGCCCUCCGUCACGCCCUUCAACCAGGAGACGCUCAUGCAGCGCCUCCAGGCCCUGAUCGAUGGCGCGCGCGAGAGCUGGACCUACGCCAUCUUCUGGCAGUCCUCCUACGACUACUCCGGCGCCGCCGUUCUCGGAUGGGGGGAAGGAUUUUACAAAGACGAGAGGGACA